AUGAGAAGAAAAGCAGAGCGACACUUCACUCCGCUCUGUUUUUUAGAAGCUCACAACCAAGCCUAAUGGCGACGAUGAUGACUUUCGCCCCCUGGAAGCUCAGUUCUUUACGCAUCUUGCCACCCUCACCCUCAACAACACGUCGUUUGGUCAAGCCUGCACACUGCGCACCCAUCCAACAACAACGACAAGAACCAGAGCUUUUUCCAAGGGUGAUGUAGCAGUUCUGUGCGAGGCCUGCAAUGGCAGAGGGUGGUUGCUCUGUGAUUUUUGCAAAGGCCAGAAAACCAAUGUGAAAUCUGAGACCAAUCGAAUCUACCGUCGAUGCCCAGCUUGCAGAGCUAUUGGUCAGGUUUUGUGUUCUAAGUGCAAAGUUUUCAAAUGUGUCACAUUCCCAAAUUACAAUGAUGGUGAAGAGGUGUCUUUUUGAGCCUUUAAUUUCAUCUGGGUUGCUUCCUUAUUGAUACAUAUGAAUAUGAUAUGAGUUAGGAGGGAUUGAUUGAU